UACGGGAGGCAGCAGUGGGGAAUAUUGCACAAUGGGCGAAAGCCUGAUGCAGCUAUGCCGCGUGUAUGAAGAAGGCCUUAGGGUUGUAAAGUACUUUCAUCGGGGAGGAAAAAACAAAACUAAUAAUUUUAUUUCUUGACGUUACCCGAAAAAGAAGCACCGGCUAACUCCGUGCCAGCAGCCGCGGUAAUACGGAGGGUGCUAGCGUUAAUCGGAAUUACUGGGCGUAAAGGGCACGCAGGCGGUUAAUUAAGUUGGAUGUGAAAUCCCCGGGCUUAACCUGGGAAUGGCAUUCAAGACUGGUUAGCUAGAGUCUUGUAGAGGGGGUAGAAUUCCAUGUGUAGCGGUGAAAUGCGUAGAGAUGUGGAGGAAUACCGGUGGCGAAGGCGGCCCCUGGACAAAGACUGACGCUCAUGUGCGAAAGCGUGGGGAGCAAACAGGGAUUAGAUACC
rnacentral:rRNA from 1 species